rnacentral:rRNA from 1 species
CCUACGGGUGGCAGCAGUGAGGAAUAUUGGUCAAUGGCCGGAAGGCUGAACCAGCCAAGUCGCGUGAGGGAAUAAGGCCCUAUGGGUCGUAAACCUCUUUUGUCAGGGAGCAAAGGCGUCCACGUGUGGACGAGCGGAUAGUACCUGAAGAAAAAGCAUCGGCUAACUCCGUGCCAGCAGCCGCGGUAAUACGGAGGAUGCGAGCGUUCUCCGGUUUUAUUGGGUUUAAAGGGUGCGUAGGGGGAGUGUCAAGUCAUGGGAAAAAUUUCGGGGCUAAACCCCGUCGGGCCGUUGAAACUGAAGCCCUGAGUGAGUGAGAAGUAAGCGGAAUGCGUGGUGUAGCGGUGAAAUGCAUAGAUAUCACGCAGAACGCCGAUUGCGAAGGCAGCUUACCGGAGCGCAACUGACGCUGAGGCACGAAAGUGCGGGUAUCGAACAGGAUUAGAUACCCUUGUAGUC